AUUGAACGCUGGCGGAAUGCUUUACACAUGCAAGUCGAACGGUAACAGGGUGCUUGCACCGCUGACGAGUGGCGAACGGGUGAGUAAUGCGUCGGAACGUGCCGAGUAGUGGGGGAUAACGCAGCGAAAGUUGUGCUAAUACCGCAUACGUACUGAGGUAGAAAGUGGGGGACCUUCGGGCCUCACGCUAUUCGAGCGGCCGACGUCUGAUUAGCUAGUAGGUGAGGUAAAGGCUCACCUAGGCGACGAUCAGUAGCGGGUCUGAGAGGAUGGUCCGCCACACGGGGACUGAGACACGGCCCAGACUCCUACGGGAGUCAGCAGUGGGGAAUUUUGGACAAUGGGCGAAAGCCUGAUCCAGCCAUGCCGCGUGUCUGAAGAAGGCCUUCGGGUUGUAAGGGACUUUUGUCAGGGAGGAAAUCCCUAGUGCUAAUAACACUGGGGGAUGACAGUACCUGAAGAAUAAGCACCGGCUAACUACGUGCCAGCCGCCGCCGUAA
rnacentral:rRNA from 1 species